rnacentral:rRNA from 1 species
UACGGAGGGUGCAAACGUUGCUCGGAAUCAUUGGGCGUAAAGCGCGCGUAGGCGGCCUGAUAAGUCGGAUGUGAAAGCCCUCGGCUUAACCGAGGAAGUGCAUUCGAAACUGUCAGGCUUGAGUAUGGGAGAGGAUUGCGGAAUUCCCGGUGUAGAGGUGAAAUUCGUAGAUAUCGGGAGGAACACCAGAGGCGAAGGCGGCAAUCUGGACCAAUACUGACGCUGAGGUGCGAAAGCGUGGGGAGCAAACAGG